rfam:Echinostoma caproni strain Egypt genome assembly, scaffold: ECPE_scaffold0008357
GGCCUCGUAGCUCACCUGGUAGAGCGUGCACGUACAAAGCGUAGGCGGCGUCUAUGCGUGGGUUCGAAUCCCACCGAGGCUA